rnacentral:rRNA from 1 species
UGAGGAAUAUUGCGCAAUGGGCGAAAGCCAGACGCAGCAACGCCGCGUGGAGGAAGACGGCCUUCGGGUUGUAAACUCCUUUUCUGGGGGAAGAACGAGACGGUACCCCAGGAAGAAGUCUCGGCUAACUACGUGCCAGCAGCCGCGGUAAAACGUAGGAGACGAGCGUUAUCCGGAUUUACUGGGCGUAAAGCGCGUGCAGGCGGUUGGGCAAGUCGUGCGUGAAAGCUCCUGGCUUAACCGGGAGAGGUCGUACGAAACUACCCGGCUAGAGGGCAGGCGAGGGGUGUGGAAUUCCGGGUGUAGUGGUGAAAUGCGUAGAUAUCCGGAGGAACACCAGUGGCGAAGGCGACACCCUGGACUGUACCUGACGCUCAGACGCGAAAGCAUGGGGAGCGAACGG